UCUCCGUUGGUGAACCAGCGGAGGGAUCAUUAUAGAGUUCUAAACUCCCAAACCCUUUGUGAACCUUACCUACUGUUGCUUCGGCGGGUACGCCCCGGCGCCACUGCGCGCCGGAUCCACGGCGCCCGCCGGGGGACCGAAACUCUUGAUUCCGUCAGUGGUAUUCUCUCUGAGUGGCACAAGUAAAAUAAAAUUAAAACUUUCAACAACGGAUCUCUUGGUUCUG
rnacentral:misc_RNA from 1 species